rnacentral:rRNA from 1 species
AUCACCAUACUAUUUUAAAAAUUCCAGAUUUUGUCUGAUUACAGAAGUUAAGAAACUUUGGCCCUGGCAGUACUUGGGAUGUUAAGAAAUGCAAUAGUUGCGGAUUCU